AGGACCUCGGGGCGCGGACUCUGC
rnacentral:piRNA from 1 species